AUGCUUACUUUGGCAGCACAUGUAAUAAAUUUGAAAUGACACAGAGAAGAUUAUCAUGGCCCCUGUGCAAGUAUGACACACACAUUUGUAAAGUGUUCCAUACUUUU